GCGAACGCUGGCGGCAGGCCUAACACAUGCAAGUCGAACGAACCUUUCGGGGUUAGUGGCGGACGGGUGAGUAACACGUGGGAACGUGCCUUUAGGUUCGGAAUAACUCAGGGAAACUUGUGCUAAUACCGAAUGUGCCCUUCGGGGGAAAGAUCUAUCGCCUUUAGAGCGGCCCGCGUCUGAUUAGCUAGUUGGUUGAGGUAAUGGCUCACCAAGGCGACGAUCAGUAGCUGGUCUGAGAGGAUGAUCAGCCACAUUGGGACUGAGACACGGCCCAAACUCCUACGGGAGGCAGCAGUGGGGAAUCUUGCUCAAUGGGCGAAAGCCUGACGCAGCCAUGCCGCGUGAAUGAUGAAGGUCUUAGGAUUGUAAAAUUCUUUCACCGGGGACGAUAAUGACGGUACCCGGAGAAGAAGCCCCGGCUAACUUCGUG
rnacentral:rRNA from 1 species